UCCCUGGUUGAUCCUGCCAGUAGUCAUAUGCUUGUCUCAAAGAUUAAGCCAUGCAUGUCUCAGUGCAAGCCGCAUUAAGGUGAAACCGCGAAAGGCUCAUUAAAUCAGUUGUGGUUCCUUAGAUCGUACCCAAGUUACUUGGAUAACUGUGGUAAUUCUAGAGCUAAUACAUGCCGACAGAGUUCCGACCGUCGCGGCGCCCUCGGGCGUCGCUCGCGGGAGGAACGCUUUUAUUAGAUCAAAACCGGCCCGUCGCGGCGCGCUUCGUGCGCGUCCCGAUCGCGGCCCGCGCAAAGACCUGGUGACUCUGAAUAACUUCGAGCUGAUCGCACGGUCUCCGUACCGGCGACGCAUCUUC
rnacentral:ncRNA from 1 species